rnacentral:rRNA from 1 species
GCUAUCAUACCAAUACUAAUGCACCGGAUCCCAUCAGAACUCCGAAGUUAAGGUGCCUUGGACACUUAUGGAUUGUUUGUGGUGGAGCGGAGUUCCCACAUAUACAUAUUUCAGAUUGCUUGUAGCGGAGCAUUGCUCCCAUAUCU